rnacentral:rRNA from 1 species
AUUGAACGCUGCGGCAGGCCUAACACAUGGCAAGGUCGAGCGGUAGAGAGGUGCUUGCAUCUCUUGAGAGCGGCGGACGGGUGAGUAAUGCCUAGGAAUCUGCCUAGUGGUGGGGGAUAACGUUCGGAAACGGACGCUAAUACCGCAUACGUCCUACGGGAGAAANCGGGGGAUCUUCGGGACCUCGCGCCAUUAGAUGAGCCUAGGUCGGAUUAGCUAGUUGGUGAGGUAAUGGCUCACCAAGGCGACGAUCCGUAACUGGUCUGAGAGGAUGAUCAGUCACACUGGAACUGAGACACGGUCCAGACUCCUACGGGAGGCAGCAGUGGGGAAUAUUGGACAAUGGGCGAAAGCCUGAUCCAGCCAUGCCGCGUGUGUGAAGAAGGUCUUCGGAUUGUAAAGCACUUUAAGUUGGGAGGAAGGGCAGUAAGUUAAUACCUUGCUGUUUUGACGUUACCAACAGAAUAAGCACCGGCUAACUUCGUG